CAGGGCCCAAGGCGGAUCUGUACUCGCCGGCGCCGGCCAGCGAGCAUGGAUCGGACAGCUCCAUCACCGCUCUAACGUAGCCGGUCGGAGCCUCCAGACUGUGAAGACACGGACUGAUCGGGGGGGCUCCAGCCCCCCUGCCCCUCCUCAGCGUUAUCUCCCUGUUACUCCUUGUGUAGGGCCUCGGAGCUGUGCCAGGUGAACAGCCCCACGUCUCCUGCACCUCCCGCCGCCCUGGGACCCACUGCCGGGGCUGCCUGCCCCAUGCUCUGCGUGUCAGACGUGCACUGGUUAGCCCCAAUGGGCACGGCCGGCCCCAUUUGCUGCGUGGUUUAUUCAGAGUGUGAGCCCCUCGGGGCAGGGACCACGGCCUCCUUAUCUCUGGGGUGCACGGAGCCCCCGCCCAGCAGCCACUGGGGGAGGGCCGGUCAUGUGGAAAACCGCAAUUUUUGGCCCCAAACUGAACACUUCUGGCUGAAAACCGCCAAAUUCCAUGUGGCGAAGCUGCCGCCGUUGCCCGGGGGAGCUGGAGUUCGGGUGCCCCGUGCUCCCACUCGCUGUAGGCCGGGCUCCCUCGGUGCAUCAUGGGAGUCCCUGCUGGUGGGAGCAGUGCGGUCUGGGAGCCAGGACUCCUGGGUCCUAUUCCCAGCUCUGCCGCUGGCUCGCUGUGAGGCCCUGAGUGAUUCCCGUCCCCGCUCUGUGCCUCAGUUUCUCCCUCUUGAAAACAGGGAGAAUAUUUUACUUCCUGUCCUGGGGGUGGGCUUGUGAGGGUGCCUGUUACAGGGCCUUGUCCCACAGGGGUGUGUG